GCGCGGGGCUGGGGGGCGCAGAGCUCCAUUGGGCUGGGAACCAGCGCGUCUCGUGCCCUUGGGGGACCUGCCUGCCCGAGCCGCCUGCUAAGCCUCCCGCUCCCCUCCACGCUGGAGCGCGCGGAGCCCGGUCUGCUCGGAACUCCACUCUGCGGGAGCGGAGGCCGGCGCCAGCCCGGGAAGCCGCGCAGGGGGCGGGAGGCCGAGCGCGAGGCCCUUGGCGCCGGGCCUCCGCGUCCAGGCCGGGCAGCUUACGAUUCUUCAUCAACUCGUAAAAUGAGAUCGCCGCGGAGCUCGAGCCUAUUUGGCUUCUCCGGAGACUAGCAAGACCCUCUGAAAGACACCGCGUCCCCAGGGAUAAUCCCCCGUGUCCGGCAAAGCUGCCCCGCUCGAGCGCGAACCCUGGGACCCAGCGCGGGAGGCAGACCAGCAGCUGGCCGCUGGGCUGUGAACGCCAGGACCGAGCGGAAGCUUCCCGCCCGGCCGCGAUCGGUGCCGCGGCUCUCAGGGAAGUGGCUACGCGCGGCCCUCGGGAAAGCAGGUAAUUCGCC
rnacentral:lncRNA from 1 species